rnacentral:rRNA from 2 species
GAUGAACGCUGGCGGCGCGCCUAACACAUGCAAGUCGAACGAUUAAAGCACCUUCGGGUGUGUAUAAAGUGGCGAACGGCUGAGUAACACGUGGGCAACCUGCCCCUCUCAUUGGGAUAGCCACGGGAAACCGUGGAUAAUACCGAAUACUUCGAGACUUCCGCAUGGAAGACUCGAGAAAGCUCCGGCGGAGAGGGAUGGGCCCGCGGCCUGUUAGCUUGUUGGAGGGGUAACGGCCUACCAAGGCAAUGAUGGGUAGCUGGGUUGAGAGACCGACCAGCCAGAUUGGGACUGAGACACGGCCCAGACUCCUACGGGAGGCAGCAGUGGGGAAUCUUGCACAAUGGGCGAAAGCCUGAUGCAGCGACGCCGCGUGCGGGAUGAAGGCCUUCGGGUUGUAAACCGCUUUCAGCAGGGACGAGGCGAAAGUGACGGUACCUGCAGAAGAAGC